AGUGAACGCUGGCGGUAGGCCUAACACAUGCAAGUCGAACGGCAGCACAGUAAGAGCUUGCUCUUACGGGUGGCGAGUGGCGGACGGGUGAGGAAUACAUCGGAAUCUACUUUUUCGUGGGGGAUAACGUAGGGAAACUUACGCUAAUACCGCAUACGACCUACGGGUGAAAGCAGGGGAUCUUCGGACCUUGCGCGAUUGAAUGAGCCGAUGUCGGAUUAGCUAGUUGGCGGGGUAAAGGCCCACCAAGGCGACGAUCCGUAGCUGGUCUGAGAGGAUGAUCAGCCACACUGGAACUGAGACACGGUCCAGACUCCUACGGGAGGCAGCAGUGGGGAAUAUUGGACAAUGGGCGCAAGCCUGAUCCAGCCAUACCGCGUGGGUGAAGAAGGCCUUCGGGUUGUAAAGCCCUUUUGUUGGGAAAGAAAAGCAGCAGGUUAAUACCCCGCUGUUCUGACGGUACACAAAGAAUAAGCACCGGCUAACUU
rnacentral:rRNA from 1 species